rnacentral:tRNA from 1 species
GGAGAGGUGGCCGAGCGGCUGAAGGCAACGGUUUGCUAAAUCGUCGAACUGGUUUUACCGGUUCCGCGGGUUCGAAUCCCGCCCUCUCCG